GAUGAAGAACGCAGCGAAAUGCGAUACGUAAUGUGAAUUGCAGAAUUCAGUGAAUCAUCGAAUCUUUGAACGCAUAUUGCGCUCUCUGGUAUUCCGGAGAGCAUGCUUGUUUGAGUAUCAGUAAACACCUCAACUUCCAUAUCUUUUUUGAAAUGGGAGUUGGACUUGAGUUAUCCCAACGGUUUUCCUCACCGAAAAGUGGCGGGUUACUUGAAAUGCAGGUGCAGCUGGACUUUUCUCUGAGCUAUAAGCAUAUCUAUUUAGUCUGCCUAAAAAACAGAUUAUUACCUUUGCUGCAGCUAACAUAAAGGAGAUUAGUUCUUGUGCUGACUGAUGCAGGAUUCACAAAGACAGGCUUCGGCCGACUUUGUAAACUCGAUCUCAAAUCAAGUAAGACUACCCGCUGAACUUAAGCAUAUCAAUAAGCGGAGGA
rnacentral:misc_RNA from 1 species